UUUUUCAGAUGCCCAAAGUCAUCGACCUCAGUCCCGUCUCAGGCUAGCAUCCAAAUACAUUUAUCUCAGACCAAAUGUUGCAACCUUGAAAACCUAACCUAUUAAAUGACACUCUCCAAUGUAUAUCAUGCACAAUAUGUGCCUUUUUCACUUUUCACAAACAACAUUUGAUUAGAUUACACGUUCUCCACAUUCAAGCGCUGAACCUCACUCUUGGUUCCAAAAACAGGUUCCAACUCAGAACCAACUUUAUGCUCCAGAAACAAGAACCGGUGACGUCUGGUGCCAAAACAAAAACACAUUACACCGCCACUUUUAAAAAGACCAGAGACAACAGCCAACAAUAUGGAAGGGAAGCAAGAACAACAAUGGUCUGUGGAGGAAACGACUUGUUUACUUGCUCUGUAGUCCUCCACCGAAAUACAAAAUAAAUUGGAAGGUGCCCUAUCUUUGAAAAGAUACAGCAGGAGAUGGCAACGGCUGGUUACGAUAGCGGUGUCGACCAAUUGAAACAACAUUUUGAAAUUAAAAAAGGAAUAUAGGGACCAGAAAAAGAACCUUGGGCGAAGUGGCAGUGGUCGUCCAAAAAUAAAUCCCUUUUUUGACAUUUAGGAGACAGACCAGCUUGUCAAGUGAGGGGGCGCUGAAUUCAGCCACAGCAAUGAUGGAUGGCAAUGGUUGAUGGCAGCGUACACAGUUUCGCUGCUUCAGAGUUGUGUGUCACCGGUGUGGAGGUGGAGGAGGGUGAUGAGGAACUAACGUUGCCGCCGCCACGGGACAGCAGCUCACCGGCGCCAUCUAGUGGAUUGGCCUCUGUACAGCAAGCCAAAGGAGGAAAAAGAAAACGUGACAAUGAUGACCUACUUGGAUAGUCACAAGUCACACGUCUUUUAUUGACAGAUGCACAGAAUGGCACAGGGUCAGACUGGGCACUGAAAUUCUUAGGACAAGGCACCACACAACAACCUACC